rnacentral:misc_RNA from 1 species
ACAAACUUGGUCAUUUAGAGGAAGUAAAAGUCGUAACAAGGUUUCCGUAGGGUGAGUGCCUGCUUUUACUGCGUUUGUCCCAUACUGACUUUGCCUAGUGAACCUGCGGAAGGAUCAUUACCGAGCAAUCCUGCUUGCAGGAACUCCACCCUUGGUUACAUGGCGUUGCUUCGGCGAGACGUUGGAAAGCAGCCAUUGGCAGGAAUGCCGAUGCGCGCUCGCCGGAGUCCCAAACUCUUGAACUAUGUGUGGUCAGAGAAAUCAAGCAAUAUAUAAAAACUUUCAACAACGGAUCUCUUGGCUCAGGCAUCGAUGAAGAACGCAGC